UCCACUGACUCUUCUCCCUGGUCACGGAUUCUGCCAGUCAUUUCCGCCAAUUCCAUGUAUUCCAUCAUUUUCAUCUGCCAUUCCUCCAGUGUGGGUAGAUCUUGUGUCUUCCAAUACUUUGCAAUGAGUAUUCUUGCUGCUGUUGUAGCAUACAUAAAGAAAGUUCUAUCCUUUUUUAACACCGAUUGGCCGACUAUGCCCAGGAGAAAGGCCUCUGGUUUCUUCAAGAAGGUAUAUUUAAAUACCUUUUUAGUUCAUUAUAAAUCAUCUCCCAGAAAGCCUUAAUCUUUGGGCACGUCCACCAAAGGUGAAAAUGUACCUUCAGUUUCUUUACAUUUCCAACAUUUGUUAUCGGGCAAAUGGUAGAUUUUUGCAAGCUUGACUGGGGUUAUGUACCACCUGUAUAUCAUUUUCAUAAUAUUUUCUCUUAAGGCAUUACAUGCCGUAAAUUUCAUACCUGUGGUCCACAACUGUUCCCAGUCAGCAAACAUAAUAUUAUGUCCAACGUCUUGUGCCCAUUUAAUCAUUGCAGAUUUCACCGUUUCAUCCUGAGUGUUGCAUUUCAACAGCAAGUUAUACAUCUUUGACAAAAUUUUAGUUUUGGGUUCUAACAAUUCAGUUUCUAAUUUUGAUUUUUCCACCUGGAAGCCGAUUUUCUUAUCCAAAUUGUAUGCCUCCAUUAUCUGAUAAUAAUGAAGCCAGUCUCGCACUUUGUUUUUUAAUUUUUCAAAACUCUGCAAUUUCAAUCUGUCUCCAUCUUGUUACAAAAUUUCCCAAUAUUUCGGCCAAUUGACCUCCAUAUUGAGCUUUUUCAAGGCUUUCGCUUCCAUCGGUGACAGCCACCUUGGAGUUUUAUUUUCCAAUAAAUCCUUGUAUCUUAUCCAAACAUUAAACAGUGCUUUCCUGACAAUAUGGUUUUUAAAUGCUUUAUGUGCUUUGACCUUGUCAUACCACAGAUAUGCAUGCCAUCCAAAUACAUUGUUAAAACCUUCUAAAUCCAAAAUGUCAGUGUUUUCAAGAAGCAGCCAUUCUUUCUUUUUUUUUAAAUGAUAUUUAUUAAAGUUUCACAAAGAAAGAAUCACAUCAACAGAAAAGAAAAAUUCAAGAAUAAAAAGAAAAAUACACAAUGCAAAAUACAAAAAGAAAAAGAAAAACAGUUAAACACAAUUCCAUCUUUUCAUCACUACUUUUACAUUUACUUGUUUCCCGGACCUCCUCAUACCUCCCUCUUUUGUAUUCCAAUUCCAGCAAUUCCUUUCCCUCCUUUUUAAUCCCAAUCCUUAAUCUUAAUAUAAUAUAACAUUAAAUUUUUACCUAUUGAAAACCAAUUUUUCCAUUCUUUUAACCUUUUUAAUCCUAAUCCUUGAUCUUAAUAUAUUUAUAACUUUAAAGCCUGUACAGCUAGAGGCCACUUAAUUUCAAUUCAACAUCACUCUAACAUUCAUUAAUUUUGCAAUAUUUCUGUAAAUAAUCUUUAAAUUUCUUCCAAUCUUCUUCCACUGACUCUUCUCCCUGGUCACGGAUUCUGCCAGUCAUUUCCGCCAAUUCCAUGUAGUCCAUCAUUUUCAUCUGCCAUUCCUCCAGUGUGGGUAGCUCUUGUGUCUUCCAAUACUUUGCGAUAAGUAUUCUUGCUGCUGUUGUAGCAUACAUAAAGAAAGUUCUAUCCCUUUUUAACACCGAUUGGCCGACUAUGCCCAGGAGAAAGGCCUCUGGUUUCUUCAAGAAGGUAUAUUUAAAUACCUUUUUUAAUUCAUUAUAUAUCAUCUCCCAGAAAGCCUUAAUCUUUGG